UUUGCCAUUAAAGUGAGAAGCAGUGCUUGUGGAAGGAAAGUAAUAAUUUAGAAACCCAAGAAAAACCUACCGGAAGUAGCCUCAGACGCGUACUCGGCUGUCAUUGGUUGAACAGAGCAGGCUGGGACGAGUUUAUGUGGCUGCGCUAAUUUGGAUUCAAAUCGCGUUUCCUGCCUAUCAAUACUAAAAUAUCCCAGCUGUAUAACAUUUUAACGGUGGCGUACAGAUGGAGGACCGUGUCGGUUCACUGCAGCACACUUCUCCUGUUACGAGGUCCAUGUGUGGGCACGGGUUUAACGUUACUCCGGUAACGUUACGAGGCCUACAGCAAGGCCUUGUCAUCGCAGUUGUUGUCUAAAGUCUCCGUUCUGUGGAAUUUAAUGUAAACCUACCUGGAAUUUAUGAAAGAAUGCCUCCGGCCAUAAUACAAGGUACACAGGACUGAUUAAUCCCAGUUUUCCUAUUAGCGGCACUGCUAUUGAGCCAGCAAACCAGUAACGAGUGAUGAAAGGGAUGUUUUUAAACCAGUCCCCGAUAUCUGACAUCUUGCCAUAUGAUUAGAAAGCCCAAAGAUUCUCUGUAGGUUAUCCGCCGAUGCGGGUUAGGAAAA